UACGUAGGGGGCGAGCGUUGUCCGGAGUUACUGGGCGUAAAGCGCACGCAGGCGGUCUGCUAAGUUUGGAGUGACAGUUGGUGGCUUAACUGCCAAAGUGCUUCGAAAACUGACAGACUUGAGGGCUUCAGAGGGACACGGAAUUCCGGGUGGAGUGGUGAAAUGCGUAGAGAUCCGGAGGAACACCAGUGGCGAAGGCGGCUCACUGGCCCGAUACUGACGCUGAGGCACGAAAGCGUGGGGAGCAAACAGG
rnacentral:rRNA from 1 species